rnacentral:rRNA from 1 species
GACGAACGCUGGCGGCGUGCCUAAUACAUGCAAGUCGAACGCUGAAGGAGGAGCUUGCUUCUCUGGAUGAGUUGCGAACGGGUGAGUAACGCGUAGGUAACCUGCCUGGUAGCGGGGGAUAACUAUUGGAAACGAUAGCUAAUACCGCAUAAUAUUGACUAUUGCAUGAUAGUCAGUUGAAAGGUGCAACUGCACCACUACCAGAUGGACCUGCGUUGUAUUAGCUAGUUGGUGGGGUAACGGCUCACCAAAGCGACGAUACAUAGCCGACCUGAGAGGGGGGUCGGGCACAACGGGAAUGGGGAACGGCCCAAGACCCUAAGGGGAGCAGCAGUAGGGGAAUUUCGGAAAAGGGCGGAAGUCUGACCGAAGAACGCCGGGGGAGUGAAGAAAGUUUUCGGGUCGUAAAGCUCUGUUGUAAGAGAAGAACGAGUGGGAGAGUGGAAAGCUCACGCUGUGACGGUACCUAACCAGAAAGGGACGGCUAACUACGUG